CGAGCGAAGCAGUUAAGUUGAUUUCUUCGGAUUGAUUCUUAAUUGACUGAGCGGCGGACGGGUGAGUAACGCGUGGGUGACCUGCCCCAUACCGGGGGAUAACAGCUGGAAACGGCUGCUAAUACCGCAUAAGCGCACAGAGCUGCAUGGCUCGGUGUGAAAAACUCCGGUGGUAUGGGAUGGGCCCGCGUCUGAUUAGGCAGUUGGCGGGGUAACGGCCCACCAAACCGACGAUCAGUAGCCGGCCUGAGAGGGCGACCGGCCACAUUGGGACUGAGACACGGCCCAAACUCCUACGGGAGGCAGCAGUGGGGAAUAUUGCACAAUGGGGGAAACCCUGAUGCAGCGACGCCGCGUGAGCGAAGAAGUAUUUCCGUAUGUAAAGCUCUAUCAGCAGGGAAGAUAAUGACGGUACCUGACUAAGAAGCCCCGGCUAACUACGUGCCAGCAGCCGCGGUAAUACGUAGGGGGCAAGCGUUAUCCGGAUUUACUGGGUGUAAAGGGAGCGUAGACGGCAAGGCAAGUCUGAUGUGAAAACCCAGGGCUUAACCCUGGGACUGCAUUGGAAACUGUCUGGCUCGAGUGCCGGAGAGGUAAGCGGAAUUCCUAGUGUAGCGGUGAAAUGCGUAGAUAUUAGGAAGAACACCAGUGGCGAAGGCGGCUUACUGGACGGUAACUGACGUUGAGGCUCGAAAGCGUGGGGA
rnacentral:rRNA from 1 species